GACGAACGCUGGCGGCGUGCUUAACACAUGCAAGUCGAGCGGUAAGGCCCUUCGGGGUACACGAGCGGCGAACGGGUGAGUAACACGUGAGCAAUCUGCCCUUCACUUUGGGAUAAGCGU
rnacentral:rRNA from 1 species